rnacentral:other from 1 species
UAUUUUUUAAUCAUAGAUAGUAUUCUUGUCCGGCUAACAGAAUUCCUCAAGGAAGCCAGACUGCAGAUGCGGUGUGCAAGCUUAAAUUUCAUUAAGAAGCCUAAAGCAUCUCAAGAGGCAUCCACUUUGUAAUACGAACUGAGACAGGAAUGCUAUCUUUUUUUUGUAUAAUUU